AUUGAACGCUGGCGGCAUGCCUUACACAUGCAAGUCGAACGGCAGCACGGGGCAACCUGGUGGCGAGUGGCGAACGGGUGAGUAAUGCAUCGGAACGUACCUUUCAGUGGGGGAUAACGUAGCGAAAGUUACGCUAAUACCGCAUAUUCUGUGAGCAGGAAAGCAGGGGAUCGCAAGACCUUGCGCUGAUUGAGCGGCCGAUGUCAGAUUAGCUAGUUGGUGAGGUAAAGGCUCACCAAGGCGACGAUCUGUAGCGGGUCUGAGAGGAUGAUCCGCCACACUGGAACUGAGACGAGGUCCAGACUCCUACGGGAGGCAGCAGAGGGGAAUUUUGGACAAUGGGGGCAACCCUGAUCCAGCCAUGCCGCGUGAGUGAAGAAGGCCUUCGGGUUGUAAAGCUCUUUCGGCCGGGAAGAAAUCGCACGGGCUAAUACCCUGUGUGGAUGACGGUACCGGAAUAAGAAGCACCGGCUAACUACGUGCCAGCAGCCGCGGUAACAC
rnacentral:rRNA from 1 species